CUACGGGAGGCAGCAGUGGGGAAUUUUGCGCAAUGGGCGAAAGCCUGACGCAGCAACGCCGCGUGCGGGAUGAAGGCCUUCGGGUCGUAAACCGCUUUCAGCAGGGAAGAAGUUGACUGUACCUGCAGAAGAAGCUCCGGCUAACUACGUGCCAGCAGCCGCGGUAAUACGUAGGGAGCGAGCGUUAUCCGGAUUUAUUGGGCGUAAAGCGCGCGUAGGCGGCUUGCCAAGCGGGAUCUCAAAACCGAGGGCUCAACCCCCGGACGGAUCCCGAACUGGCAGGCUCGAGUUCGGUAGGGGAAGAUGGAAUUCCCAGUGUAGCGGUGAAAUGCGCGGAUAUUGGGAAGAACACCGAUGGCGAAGGCAGUCUUCUGGGCCGCAACUGACGCUGAGGUGCGAAAGCUAGGGGAGCGAACAGGAUUAGAUACCCCGGUAGUC
rnacentral:rRNA from 1 species